rnacentral:ribozyme from 1 species
GAUGGGCCACAAACAGAGGGUUCCAACGGUCCCCAGGAGGCAGCUGGGCAAGUCGGAGAAACAGCCGAACAC